rnacentral:misc_RNA from 1 species
GAUGAAGAACGUAGCGAAAUGCGAUAAGUAAUGUGAAUUGCAGAGUUCAGUGAAUCAUCGAAUCUUUGAACGCACAUUGCGCCCCUUGGUAUUCCGAGGGGCAUGCCUGUUCGAGCGUCAUUAUAACCCCUCAAGCUCAGCUUGGUGUUGGGGCCUGCUGCACUGGCAGCCCUUAAAAUCAGUGGCGGCGCCGUCUGGCUCUAAGCGUAGUAAUUCUUCUCGCUAUGGAGUCCUGGUGGAUGCUUGCCAUCAACCCCCAAUUUUUCUAUGGUUGACCUCGGAUCAGGUAGGGAUACCCGCUGAACUUAAGCAUAUCAAUAAGCGGAGGA